rnacentral:lncRNA from 1 species
AUGUCUGGGAUGGAAACUGGAAGUGGGAGUGCAAUACAACGCCUCAAGAGUAUGCCAUCGGAUGAGUUGGAGCACAGAGCAGAAGCCCUAUCCUCCAGCUGUGCGCUGAAGCCAGCAGCCGCGCAGCCAGCAGUGCCCGCAGCACACCUGGAGCGCAGCCGCUGCCCGUCGUGGGCGGUGGCGCUGUCCAAGGUGCUGAAACGGCUGCUCCGCCGCGCGCAGCUCAGCGCUCCGAGCGUCCACUGGGACAGAUCCUGCACCCGCACUCCCUACGUGCACAGUCCACACGCGGCAAGGCAGGAGCACCAGCCCACUGCCGGUGCUCAUAGGACCCUGUCGCACUUGAGUCGUUUAGUUAGAAGUGUGAGCUUUCUUUAAUAUCUUGCAGUAGACUCUGCAUGGUGAGGUGAAGUGACUGGAGUGAAGGAACCAGAGAGAAAUGCUAUGUGCAUGGUGCAGCACCUUGGUAAAUGUAGCUAUCACGAUUUACAGGUACAAACAGUGCUGCAUUCCUCUGCCCAGGUUGCAAGCAAGUUGGGUAACAGCCAGGCUCAGCCUAGAGAUUGCAACCCAAAGUAUCCUGCAACAAAUCACUACAGGCAGAAAAAAAACACCAAUUAGAAAACUCUCCUUACAGAAGGGAUUUUCUACUUGCCCCCACUCAGGACAGUGAGACCAAGAAAUCCUUGAGGUCUUUAAGCAGCAGCAUCCCCUUCAAUCUUGAGCAUUGCAUGUUUCAUUUAACAUAUAGUGAGUAAAGAAUCUGUACCCUAUAGAAACUUGUUCUGAGAGUUAAAAUCAUCAUUACUUCAUUUAUUAUUUUUUUUAUAUGUAGGGUUAGAUAGAUUAUCCUGACAGCAAUAAGGUUUAUUAUACUGGAAAUGAUACUUAGACUUAACUGGUCUGGACUGAAGUCCGUUUCCACUCAUUAGAAAAUCCAGAUAGCCUUCCAUCUUUCCUAUAAUCUGAAAAUAUAUUAUCAUAAGUGGACCCUGAAACAUUUAGCAUUUCUUCUCACUUCACAACAUUCACUCUAGAAUUACAUGACAGACACCUGCUGUGAAGAUUUUUCUAAUUAAAAGACAAAAUAAGAACUCGCUUGCCAUCAAUCUCCUAUUCUUUGCCUUUCUAGGCCCACUUGAACCCUAGGAGUUCAAAAUCAUCUGACAAUCCCAAGCAGUGAUAAAAAGGAGAAGUCUAUGUAAGUAGAAAGUUUCCAUGCAGUUUUAUUUUGUUUUAAAGUGUUGACAUCUUUCGUUAUAAAACUACAAAGUUUGAAGGCACAAGUAAUUCCUUUCUCUGGGAAAUAGGCACCACUGGACAGCUCUAGACUAACAAUGCAUAACCCAGAUCAGUUCUACUUAGAAGCUCAGAAUAC